CAAACGACUCUCGGCAACGGAUAUCUCGGCUCACGCAUCGAUGAAGAACGUAGCAAAAUGCGAUACUUGGUGUGAAUUGCAGAAUCCCGUGAACCAUCGAGUUUUUGAACGCAAGUUGCGCCCAAAGCCACUCGGCUGAGGGCACGUCUGCCUGGGCGUCACGC
rnacentral:rRNA from 3 species